ACUUUUAAAAGAUAGCAGCCAUCUGCUGGCCUUAGGAGCCAAACACCUUG
rnacentral:tRNA from 1 species